AAUAACCAAAUAUGAUACUCGGGCUAAGGGUCAAGUUGGUAAUUUUUCUUACAUCUCCCCCUCCCGGAGCCCAGGUAUCAUAUACGCCCCCAAAAUAAAGAGCCUUGAAUACUAGAAGAAAAGCACCUAGACCUAAU
rfam:Nicotiana attenuata strain TT chromosome 11, whole genome shotgun sequence.